UCUGUGGGAGAUCUGAGCGUAGAGGGAAUUUGACCAGCCCCUCUACAGACUGUUGGCAGCAGCGUGUGCCACCAGGGAGCUAUGCUGGAACUACCUGGGGCUGUGUUCUCAGUGCAAGGGGUGGGAUCUGAAAAACUGCCGAGAAGGGGACACACAGCCCAAACUCCAGGCUAGCAACCCAUUUGCGAUUCUAGGAGGCCAUAGGUGUGCGUGCUCUCGGGAUGCCGGAGCCUGCCAGCCGAGUAAAAAUCGAUUGUGACAACACUCCUGGAGCGGGCUCGUUCCUCCUUCAUCUCAGGCCUUUGUGCCUGUCGCCCAGCUGCCCGACGUGCUGGGAGGAUCCUCCCCUCCCUGGGGAGGGACGGCUUCUACUGCAUGGACCGUGGCAUGCUAAAUCCAUCACUUUGGGGGGUUUCUGCAAAUCGCACUGCUUCAGCCCUUCUGGUCUUAAAGGUAUCAUGUGAUGAAAACAAAGCAAAUCUUCCAUGAUCUGCCUGGUUUCCACUGCCCCAUUUCCAUGCGCCCCAAGUCUCCGAGGGUAAUCAGACUGUUCUCUUCUUGCUGUUGGUGUCUGUGCCGUGGCAGGUGGCCGGUGCAGGAUGCUCAGCCCAUGCUCUGUGUCUCUGGCACCUGGACACGUCUUUCCCUGAAGUCAGGCAAAGCCCUUUUCCCCUGCCUGAUGGAUGGACAGGCCUCCUGCAGAGUGUGGACUGUCAGUGAUGUGAGGCUCUGAGUUGGCUCCUCUCCAUUAGAUGCUCACUCUUAGUUAUUUUUUCACUAAAAAGAACUUAGGAGCUGAGACCAUAGCUCUUAGGAGGAAUAGCAGCAUAAACCUGGAGUGGCCGAUGGAAAUGAUACCGUGUGUGCUCUUUUGUUGUUGUUGUUGUUGUUGUGUAUUCCAAACUCCUUGCAAUUCUUUCUUUUCUUAAAAUAUUAUUUUAGUUGUAGAUGGACACAAUAUCUAUCUAUCUAUCUAUUUAUUUAUUUAUUUUUAUGUGGUGCUGAGGAUGGAACCCAGUGCCUCACAUGUGUGAGGCAACUGCUCUACCACUAGGCCCCAGCCCCAACCCCUCGGUUGCAAUUCUUAAUGAAAUGUAAUAUUUAAAUAGACUGUAUCAUUAUUUAGGCACUACUAUUCUCUUACAGUCUUCAUUACAGUUUGAUACUCAGAAUUUUACCACAAUUUGUCAUGGCCGCAGGAACUGUACUAGAGAUGAUUUCAGUACACCAUCACUGUGACAGGUUUAGAGACUCAAUGGAACCCGUGGCAUCAAAGGAACAGUUUGUGCACAGGACUUGGUGGACACUUAAGUAGACUUAAAUUAAGCAAGAAAUGCUAUUUUAAAACUCCAGGCACUCUCUGUUCCAUGAUCUUUGAGUCCUGCAUAUUAGCAACAGGGUAAAUUUCUUAAGGAACCAAGAGCAAAGAACUAAAUUUGAGCAUCGAUUUUUGUCUUUUGUCUGCAGUUUAAGGCUAAUUUAAAAGGAUGGUGAGGAGAUUCUAUUUUCAACUGGCUGAAGUUCAAUAAGAAUAUAAUAAAACACUGUUAUAGCAAACUCUUUCACAGUGAAAGUUUGGCAAGGCUAAAUCUAAUUCCUUUCAGUACGCUCCAACAGCUGAAAUGCUGUUCCAGUGAGUAACACACCCAUCAGAGUGACAAGCUUCCUACAGUUCAGGGAUUUUUCCAAAUUUUAUUUUCAACCAAAUCAGCAUUUUAUUGCUUUGAAUUAAGAAUGCAAAAAGGAAAUAUUUUAUAAUAAAAUCGAGAGGACAUGAAGUUUCAUUAUAGCUAUAUUUUUUAUCAUAGCCUGCAUUUCCUAGUUUCAGAAACAUAUUUGAUCAUUUUAGACAUAGGAAAUGACUUCAUUUAAUUGUUCUUGUAACAAAAAUUUUAUAACGUUUUAGUAAAGCCUACUGAUUAGUUUAACAGCCCUAAUGGAAAGAGUGACAAUGUGAUAGACGUCUUAGGGCACAAAUCAAGGAUGGAAAAUUUAAAGGCAAUUUUUAUUUUCCUCCUCUUUCUCCCUCUCCUUUCCUUCUCCUCCUCCUCCUCCUCCUUCACCUUCCUCUCCCUUUUCGUCCCCUCCUUCUCCUCAUCCCUUCCAGCCAUGCUGGUCCUCACCAAUGGGAAGAGCUGACAAGACCUUUAGAGAGAGGGAGGGUCAAACUUCUUAAAAUCAGGAUCAUCACAACCCUCCUGACCAUGCCCGGCUCAUCUCCUAAGAUUCUGGAUUUGGUCAAGUUGCUUCCUACAAGUUGUUGUCACUGAUCUCCCUUUGUCUCGGCUCUAGGAUGCCGUUCCUUGGUCAGUAGCAAUGAAGCCCUGACCUCAGCUACCUGGCCGUCGAGGCUGCUCAGUCUGGCCCUCCAUGCCCUCCUGGGCCUCCUCAAUUCCAGGGUGCCCUCCUGGCCCACCUCCUGCUUAUCUCUUCUCUUCUCACCCCAGCAUGCCCUACUCAUCACCCCUGCACACACCCGGGCAAGGUUCACUUUCAUACCUUCUUGGAUUACUUUCCUGAUCUCCGACAGCUUCCCUACUCCUUCAUUCUUUCUUCCCUCGUUGAACAAAUAGGUGUGGGAAAUGCAACAUGCACCUGCCACUCGGUUUCCUGGCUACAUCUUCUACACUACUCUAUCCAUUCUUCAAGAUCUGUUUCCUCCACAGAUCUUCCUUCACUGCUGAGGACCAGCAGAAUCCCUCCCUCUCUGGUCUUACCACACUUCUGCAAAGUGGUUUGGAUUCAGGGUCAAAACCCUCAUACUAGAUGGCACUGUCAAUCUGUGACCUUGAAACAGUCAAUCAUCAUAUAUCAGUUUCAGUUUCCUUGUAGAUAAAAUAAGUGCUUGCACCACAAGUUUACUGGUCAAGUUUAAAUGAGAUAUGUCAAAGCUCCGUGUUUACAGAACAAAUGACUAUUUAAUGUCUAUGUUGAUAUUUAAAUCUGAUUUUUAAAAAUCUUGCUAAAUACUUUGAAAUUCUUCUUUCCAAUGAAACAUGUUGAAUAUAAAAAAAGCCAUACUAAAAGCAGGCACCACACGAAACACCAAGACCUUUUGGGAGGAUGAUCAUGAGUCUAGUGAUUGCUUCAGCAGCCCAGAAAUUAGUGGUGAGACUGUCACCACCGAAGAAGAAAUGACAAUGACUCUCCCUUGUUUAGACUGAUUUUAGAUAGAAAGACAUUCCAAAGACCAUCUUACAUCGUGUUUUCUCUGAAACAAGAAUAAAGUGAAACAAACUAUGGACUUAAGCCAAGCCUUAAAAGUGUUAGAAAUUUCUUCAGUAACUUCCAUCCACCAACUAAUUUUAUAAUCAGAAAUUUUCAGAAAUGAGCAAGAGCAAGCACUUUGCCCAUGGUGGAAGCAUCGGGGUGACCCCCUGACGUGACGGUGGAGCACGCAGGCUGGAAGAACAGGCCACUUUCUGCUGAAACUACCAGAGGAAGGCAGGAGUACCUGUGGAUGCUUGAGCCUCAAGAUGAAGCCACUGGAGGAGAGGGACGAACUUCAAUGCAGACAAGCCUCACAGCUUUUUGCAUUAAAAAAAAAAAAAGCCUCUCCAUUCCUAAAGAAGAAACCUAGCAUUUAGAACUUUUAAGCUUUUUUUUUUUUUUGGCAUUAAGUCCCAAGUGGUAAACCUCUGUAACGAUAUUUUAUCAACCUGAAAAUUCAACUUGUAACAAAUGAAAAGUAAAGACUUUAAUUCUAUAAGAACAGAAGAAAUGCAGCCUUUUUAAAAGAAAGAGCUCUAUCAACUCAAAUAGGAAUGGUCACAUGUAAUUUUAUCAAAAUUCACUUGUAUUACAUGAGUGCUUUAUUUUUGAAUGGUAAUUUAAAAGACACCAGAGAGACUGAAUUGCACAAGACUGUGAGUGAUUACAGAAUGCUGAAAAUAUCAGGCCUGGUCUUCCCUCUUGUCUGUGUUGCAUCUGUGGGCUGCUGUGGGGACUAUUGAGAAGCCAGGCCUGGGUCCUCAGAGCAUCACCCCGGGGAACCUGGGAACGCACACACUGCUGUUAGUGUUUCCCGCAGGCACCAUCACGUUUGGUUGCAUGUACAGAAAACCCAGUGUAACACGGGCCUGGGCAAGACAGAUGUUUAAUAUUUUCUUCUGCAAAAGAAAGGCUGGGAGGAAGCAAUGUGGCUAUUAGCAAGUCCAAGGGCUUGAUGAAGUUGUAGGAGAAUUGGAUUUCUACUUUUUAACAUAAAUUUCCUGAAUGUGUCUUCUGUCUCAACAUAGUUCAGAGCCAAAGGUGGCUGCUGGACCCUCUACCUUCUCAUCUGUGUUCCAGACUAGAGGAAAGACAAAGGGCCAUGACUUAAUCAGUUCUCCCACACCACCUGUAAGAGUAGCUGAGAGCCCAGCUUGUUGCUGAGGGCAGUGUCCCCAACCACUUGGGGUGGGGUCACUAGGGGACAAGGGCAUAAUGGGUACUUCCCACGCUCAGAUGCACCUAAACAGAGAUGGAGAGACGGGAGAUCCUGCUGUCUUCUCCUGCCUCUUGCUCCAGGCAGGCCUCUGCCUUCCGUGUGACUGUCUGUCCAGGUUGUGGAGCCUGUAAACACAGACCCCCUGUUGUUCUGAAGCACCAGCUAGUGAGCCUGUUUAAAGUGUUGGCGGGAACGAGAUGGGCAGACUUGUGCCUCUGGUGGACAAAUAGCCAGGCAGGGAAGAAAGUAUUGAGCUUGAACUGGGUGACUGGGUAAGCAGGGCGCAGAAGCACAUGCUGAUGCAGGGCACUUUGAGAGGAGGCUAAGCUCGCUUGGAAGAAGAGGAAGAACAUGGCGGAGUCGCUCUCCCAGCAGAAUUCCCUCUCCUAAUUGUUUUCCCUGAUGCUUUUAUGCCCUGCCCCAUCAUAGUCUCUCAAAAGAGGGUUUCUGACCCACAACUGCCUGUCCAUCUGAGCCCACUUUAAUGUUUCCAGGGUUGGCUUCACAUGGACGCUCCCCAGGCCCCUUAGAAGGUACCACAAUUAACUGCUGAGGGACACAGGAUACCUGGCAGCGUCUGGUUGCUUCAUGCUGCCUGGGCACUGGCUGCACUGUCCCACCCGCGCAGUUUCUACUGCUGCCCUCUUAUUUUUUGUCUUGGACACAGCAAUAGGCUCCAGGCUGGCCUGCCAACUCCACCCGACUCCCUAACUGCCCCCCAAGUGGCUGCACACUUGUGAUGAUGUUACUGACUUAUCCGCUGUGUUCCAAGGAAACAUUGUCCGGUCACUCUUCCAGUCUGUGCCGUGGAAUUCAGCUGCAAAUUGUUGCUUAAGUUCAGAGACCAUUCACACAAUUUCUCAGGCUAGAAUGUGUUUCUGCUAUCUCCCCAGCAUGCGAAGUCCAGGCGAAAUGUUUUAUAAAACCUCCUCUCAUCAGUGAAGCCAGGCCCCAGGAACUCCAUCAAGACCACUUCCUGGAGACGAAGGACUGCAGUGUCCAUAAGGAGAGGAGUUUUUUUUUUUUAAUUUUUUUUUUUUAGUUGUAGAUGGACCCAGUAUCUUUAUUUUCUUUCUUUAUUUUUAUGUGGUGCUGAGGCUCGAGCCCAGUGCCCCACGUGUGUGAGACAAGCGCUACCGCGGAGUCACAGCCCCAGCCCGAGGAAAGGAGUUUGUCUGGACUCCUCCCUCCUUCCCUCUCUUCUCUCUUUCCUUCCUCUCUCUCUCUCUCUUUUCAUUUCCAGCUCUAUGGACAGUGCCUUUAGCCUGGUGGGUGGUCAGUAACACUUACUA